CACUAUUAAACACAGAAUCCACAGAAUCUAGGCUCCUGGAGUGGUACAUAAUUUACAUUUCAAGCAUUACAAGUGCUUAUGAGAUUUCACUCAUGUUUCUACUUCAUUUUUCCUAAUUACCAUUCAAAUUUUAUUCUUUGGAACAGACUCAGAAACCCCUCUUUACCUUAGAUUCAAUGGUAUUUAAAAAAUAAAAUGUUAUGUACACAAGCUUGUGAAGUGGCCCCUUGCGAACCUACUGAGGUUCAAGUCCAUGUGUAAGGUGCUGCAGCUGGGUUGGGGCAAUCCUGGACAUGAGCACAGGCUGGGAGAAGAACUCAUUGAGAGCAGACCUGCAGAGAAGGACUUCGGGGUUCUGGUGCACAAAAAGCUCAACAUGAGCCAGCAGGGUGUGCUUGCAGCCCGGAAGGCCAACUGCAUCCUAGGCUACAUCAACAGAGGAGAGGCCAGCAGGUCGAGGGAUGUGAUUGUCCCCUCUCUGCUCUGACCUUGUGAGGCCCCCCAUGAACCAUGAAGUGCAGCUUCCAGGUCUUGUGCCCUCAGAACAAGAAGGAUGUGGAGCUGUUAGAGUGGGUACUGAGGAGGGACACAAAGAUGAUCAGAGGUCUGGAGCACUUCUCAUCUGAAGAAAGGCUGAGAGAGCAGGGGAACUUCAGCCUGGUGAAGAGAAGGCUUGGGGAUGCCUUAAAACAGCCUUUCAGCCUUCUUCACUCAGAGGUUGGUAAGGCACUGGAACAGGUUGCCCAGAGAAGCUGUGGAUGCCCCAUCCCUGGAAGUGUUCAAGGCCAGGUUGGAUGGCGCUUUGAGUAACCUGAUCUAGUAGGAGGUGUCCCUGCCCAUGGCAGAGGAGUUGGAACUAGAUGGUCUUUAUGGUCUCUUCCAAUCCAAAAUAUUCUAUGAUUUUGUGAUUCUAAAUUGUGAAACCAAGGGAAAACAAUCAUCCAUUAAAAUUACAGCAUAUGAUACUUACUCCUUGGUGACAGAAGACAAUGUAAUUUGGCACUCCUGUAUAUAAUCAUACACUGUAUCUACAAAAAUAAAAUAGAACUAAAAAUAAAAAUUUUAUAUUAAUAGAGAUUUAUAAAUAUAUUAUCACAAUGACAUUUAUAAAGAAGAUACUACCAUCAAAAGCAGACUAACAUGCAUUAAUAACUUAUACUUGGCAACACUGAACUGGAAAGGAAAUAAACACUUCUAUGAAAAGUUCUGUCACUGACUGACUUUAUUCAAGAUUGAGUUUCAAGCAAUAGCAAUAACCCCACUUAAAAACAACCUUUGGGAUUGGUGUAGUCAGCAUCAUGCAGACACUGCUAAAGAAUAUACUUAAACAUAUUUGC